rnacentral:tRNA from 1 species
GACGCUUUGCGCCGCCUUGAGAUGAACUCUGCGCUGACUCUUAAUCAGCGGGUCCUAGGUUCGAGCCCUAGUGCGUCCACCA